UCACUAUGGCUAUGGGUAUUGCUUUUUAACACAAUUUAGGCCUAUAUAGUAUAUCAAUCUGCUGUUCUAAUCCACAAGAUUAUGUUACAAUGAAUUAGCAGGUUAAAGACAAAUCAUCUGUGUGUGCAACACAACUUUCUGCACAAACCAGUCUGACUACAUCUUUAAGGGCAACGUGCCAGCAGUCCAAUGGAAUGUACACCCAUUCAAGCACAUACCUUGUGUUGACAACAUAGCAGCAAGUGACAGAUUUCAUUCUACCAUGACUGCAACAAAGAACAACGGCAACUACCACCUGAGAGACAACAAUGAAGCCCAAAUCUCUCGUAUUGAGGUUAUUUGAUAAUACUGAGUCCUUAAGUGUGAGGCAAGUGGAGAAAGGAGCCAGGUAUCACCGACAAGUAGACUGUUCAGACCAACAUGAGACCCCCGCACCAAAUUAUACCCGCGGUCCCCAGGUAGAGGAUGGGGGGAGAAAGAAAGAGAAGUGCGCCACUGAGAUCCAUUUCACCUUUUUACCGGAGAGGUACGAGCCCCUAGUCGAAGAGGAUGAAGGAAGGCAAAGAGCGAAAGAAGAAAAGAAAAACAAAAAGAAACAAAAAUACAAGAAAGUCAAGAAGAAUGUCGGCAAGGCCCUUCGCUACAGCUGGAAGUGUUUGAUGCUUGGUCUUCACAGUAUGGCAGCAGGCUAUUCCACCCCACUCACUGCCGCUGCUACCCUCGUUCCAGAGUUUCAUGCGGGCAGGGACAGGGGCUGAGAGGACCAAUCACAUUGAUCUGUAAUCUUUCUUAAUGUUCACUGACUCUAUCGCUGUGGCCCCAGGGUCUCAAAAUAAACCAGCGCUGAAAACCCUCAAUUGAGAGAUUUCUCUACAUUAUGAAAUUAUAGAAUUUCAAUAUCCUGUUGUAGAAUAAUGAUAAAAAGACAUUGAUUCUUAUUGCAAGGAUUUGCACGUUUAUAAGACGUAAUAAACUGUUUAUAUUUUUUAUAGUUACUUAAUAGGAACUUUGUAAGAAGCACAUUGAUGCAUUUGUAAUUACAUUUAUGUGACAGAAUGUUGACAUGAUUAGGAAAUAUAUCUGUCAGACGUUUUAUACUUUUACAAUGACUUCAACAUUGAAAUUUAUGGGAUAUUUUGUAUAUUUGUAAACUCUUUAAUUACAGCAUUUCACAGUUACUUACUGCACAAUUAUUCAUUAUUUUCUCAAAUAUACAUUGCGCCUUUUUCAACUCUAAAGAAUUUCUGUAACAUGCAACCAUCACCUUGUGUAAAGCCUGUUAAAGAGACAGCGAGAGAGAAAAGGAACAUUGUGCGGCACAAACAGAAUGUGUGUUUGCUCUAUGGCGUCAGAUGAAGUGAAUCGGGACCGGACAGGAGCUUGUUAACAAAGGGAUUUAGAUAGAGACAGGAAAGAAUUAGCGGGGUUGGGGUGGAAAGGGGAACCAGAACAGGAAAGCAAACUGAAUCAAGGCUUGAGGGCCUCUUCCUGCACACUGGGGACAGUCUGUCUUUUGUCCCAGCCAGUCAACAGAAGCAGGGGCAUGGCACAACCCCAGUGGAUUUACAGCAGAAUAAUAUAUUUUCAGAAUAUCUUCUGAAUGUAAUAUGAUAGAAAGAAACAUGUAUGUUUGUAUGAUAAAGAAAGCUGACAGAAAGAAACAUGUAUGUUUGUAUGAUAAAGAAAGCUGACAGAAAGAAACAUGUAUGUUUGUAUGAUAAAGAAAGCUGACAGAGAGAAGUUAUAUCUUCAUGUGCAAAUAGACAGAUGGAUUGUGAAUAAAAUGUCAGUGAUAUGCUACCAAAGAAUACACACUACAUCUCUCUAUUGCCUAUAUCUGUCUUUGAAAGUCCGUUUCUAUGUGAAUAAAUACAAUUUAAACUUA